CCUACGGGUGGCAGCAGUGAGGAAUAUUUGUCAAUGGGCGCGAGCCUGAACCAGCCAAGCAGCGUGAAGGAUGACUGCUCUACGGGUUGUAACCUCCUUUUAUAAAGGAAUAAAGUGAGGCACGUGUGCCAUAUUGUACGUACUUUAUGAAUUAGGAUCGGCUAACUCCGUGCCAGCAGCCGCGGUAAUACGGAGGAUCCGAGCGUUAUCCGGAUUUAUUGGGUUUAAAGGGAGCGUAGAUGGGUUGGUAAGUCAGUUGUGAAAGUUUGCGGCUCAACCGUAAAAUUGCAAUUGAUACUGGCAGUCUUGAGUACAGUAGAGGUAGGCGGAAUUCGUGGUGUAGCGGUGAAAUGCUUAGAUAUCACGAGGAACACCAGUUGCGAAGGCAGCUUACUAAACUGCCACUGACAUUGAUGCUCGAAAGUGUGGGUAUCAAACAGGAUUAGAUACCCUUGUAGUC
rnacentral:rRNA from 1 species